rnacentral:misc_RNA from 1 species
GCGCCUGGCUGGAUUUAAAAUAAUUACGUUACACACAAAAACCGAGACGGGAACACAUAAAAGAAAGAGACUGGGAGAGCGAGGCGAGGUGCGAGAAGGGGAAAAGGACAAGAUGAACGCUUCAUCGCCUUCGUUUGACUUGCCGGCUGGCUGGCUGGAUGGCUGGCUCGACUCCGUUAAGCUUUUGAGCGCAUUCCUCGGCUUCUUCGGCAUGCAACGUAGCCACACACUCCCUCUCCGAGCCAGAUUAUAUGAGGCACGUGCAGUUCAGGACGCAUAAUAAUUGCCGGUUGAUAGCUCCGGCAGCCCGUUGGGAUGUGUUGCGUAUUCUUUCGCCUGCCUCCGACCCCGCCUCCUUGGGUGGCAGCUUGAGUUUUAGCCUCGAAAGCCGCAAGGCCGCAAGCCAGAGGCGAGAGAGCUCUAGACUACCCUUCAACUGAAUUCCGAAAAGCAAAACUGGAAUUUUUAUUGCAAAUUGCGAAAUUUUGAACUAACAAAAAAGAAAUACAACAAAAGUGGAACGCA